rnacentral:rRNA from 1 species
AGCGAACGCUGGCGGCAGGCCUAACACAUGCAAGUCGAACGAAGUCUUCGGACUUAGUGGCGGACGGGUGAGUAACACGUGGGAACGUGCCUUUAGGUUCGGAUUAACUCAGGGAAACCUGUGCUAAUACCGAAUGUGCCCUUCGGGGGAAAGAUUUAUCGCCUUUAGAGCGGCCCGCGUCUGAUUAGCUAGUUGGUGAGGUAAAGGCUCACCAAGGCGACGAUCAGUAGCUGGUCUGAGAGGAUGAUCAGCCACAUUGGGACUGAGACACGGCCCAAACUCCUACGGGAGGCAGCAGUGGGGAAUCUUGCGCAAUGGGCGAAAGCCUGACGCAGCCAUGCCGCGUGAAUGAUGAAGGUCUUAGGAUUGUAAAAUUCUUUCACCGGGGACGAUAAUGACGGUACCCGGAGAAGAAGCCCCGGCUAACUUCGUGCCAGCCGCCGCGGUAAUAC